rfam:Candidatus Altiarchaeales archaeon IMC4 isolate IMC4_SM1 MSIBFv1_B, whole genome shotgun sequence.
AAUGUACAGGAUUCAAACCAUGCAGGGGAUGGUUCGGCUUGACUGCUGAUGAAGGACGUGGCAAGCUGCGAUAUGUCUCGGCGAGGCGCAUGCAGCCUUUGAACCGGGAAUCUCCUAAUAGCUCGCUUGCGAGCGGGAACGCGGUGAAUUGAAACAUCUUAGUAACCGCAGGAAAAGAAAGCAAAAGCGAUUCGGUUAGUAAUGGCGAACGAAAGCCGAUGAGGAUAAACUGAAUUCCCGACAGAAAUGUCGGGAUUAUGUGGUGCGGCCCUAUUUUGGCCCUAACCUAGCGAGGCGAAGUUCCCUGGAAAGGGACGCUCAAGAGGGUGAAAGCCCCGUAGUCGAAGUCAGGAAGGGUCUUUUAGGGUUCAAAAGUAGCAGGCAUUGGAUAUUGCUUGUGAAUGCUGGGGGCAUCAACCCCAAAUCCUAAAUACACGUCAAGACCGAUAGUGAACUAGUACCGUGAGGGAAAAUCGAAAAGGAUCCUUAACGGGAUGUGAAAAGAGCCUGAAACUGCAUGGUGAUAACUUGAUACUGCUGCUUUACAUUCAUGCGAAGUUUACGAGCAUGAAUUCGGCAGUUGUAUCGUCCGUCUUGAAACACGGGACAGGGAGUGUAUGUACACGGUGGGGCGAAAGCCGAAGCGAAAGCAAUUGCCCGCAGCGCAAGCGAGGGGCGUGGUAUGAAAGUGCCAUAAAUCGUGUGUGUACGACCUGAAGCUAGACGAUCUAACCCUGGGUAGGACGAAGUCCCACAUCUGUGGGAUGGAGGUCCGAUAGCGGUUCUGGGCUCAAUCCGUUCGCGUAACCUGGGGAUAGGAGUGAAAUGCUAAUCGUGCCUAGCAAUAGCAGGUUCCUUCCGAAAUGGCCCUUAGGCCAGUCUGGCUGAAGACAGAUUAUGGGGUAGAGCACUGAUUGGGAAGUUUGGAGGAGAAAUCUUUCGCUUUCCUGUCAAACUCCGAACUCGUAUUCGUCGCAGAAGGCCGGAGACGGGGCGGCGGCGUAAGGUUGUCGUCCGAAAGGGAAACUGCCCUGCUUGUGGUUAAGGCCCCAAAGUACUGAUUAAGUGUAAGCAACGGCGUCUUAGGUCCAAGACAGCGGGAAGGUAGGCUUAGAAGCAGCCAUCCUCCAAGGAGUUCGUAACAGACCACCCGCCGAGUCUUAGGGCCCUCAAAAUUGACGGGGCUAAAUCAGUCGCCGAUACCACAAUACAUGAAAAUGAUUAAGUAGGAAGGUGUCAUGCGGGGGUAGAAGCUCUUCCGUGAGGAGGAGUGGACCCUGUCUGAGUAAGAAUCCUGUCGGUAGUAAUAGCGAAGUGUCGUGAGAAUCGACACCACCUGAAGGGCAAGGGUUCCUCGACAAUGUUCAUCAGUCGAGGGUUAGUCGAUCCUAAGUUAAGCCUAAUUAGGGUAAACGAAUGGGAAAUCGGUUAAUAUUCCGAUACCUUAUGGGUACACGCGGUAACGCAAUGUUCUUUCCUGACACUUCUGGAUAUUCCGAGCAUCGUUGUCUUGGUGCUUAAGCGGGAUAAUGCUGUGGAGUACGGUAAUCGUGAGAAGCAGCAUAAACCGUGAACAGCCGCCAUUAGGCGGUUCGGACGAGUCCGGGAGUCCAUGAAAAGGGAAAGGAUAGAAUCCCAUAUGAUCGUACCAAGAACUGACACCGGUGCCCCUAGGCUAGCAACCUCAGGUGUAACGAGAUAACUCUCUUUAGGGAAGUCGGCAAAUUAGCCCCGUAACUUCGGGAUAAGGGGUGCCUGCCAUUAGCGUGGUAGGUUUCAAUAGCAAGUGGAGUCCGACUGUUUAAUAAAAACGUAGGUCCCUGCAAAUUCGUAAGGAUUAGUAUAGGGGCCGAGGCCUGCCCAGUGACAGUAUGUCAAACUCCGGUUCAACGGAGCAAAGCACUGUUAAACGGCGGGGGUAACUAUGACCCUCUUAAGGUAGCGUAAUACCUUGCCGCUUAAUUGGCGGCUUGCAUGAAUGGCUCAACGAGAUUCCAGCUGUCCCAAAGAGAGACUCGGUGAAUCUACAGUUUUGGUGAAUAUGCCAGAGACUUCCAGCGGGACGCGAAGACCCCGUGGAGCUUUACUGCAGUCUGUGGUUGGAUUGUGAUUAUGGUUGCGCAGAGUAGGUGGGAGACGUUAUAUCCCAUACUUUCGGGUAUGGGGGAGUCAAAAGUGAGACACCACCCUUCUGUGAUUACAAUCCUUACCCGGAAGGGGACAUUUACAGAUGGGCAGUUCGGCUGGGGCGGUACACCGUUGAAAAGAUAUCGACGGUAUCUAAUGAUUGGCUCAGGCGGGACAGAAAUCCGCCGUAGAGGAUAAGACCAAAAGCCAAUCUCACUGGAUUUCGAACAACAAGUAAUCCAGGGACGAAAGUCCAGUCUAGCGAACCCCGGUACCUCCUUGAUGGGGGUCCGGGCUGAUGGAAAAGCUACCCCGGGGAUAACUGAGUUGUCGCGGGCAAGAGUACACAUCGACCCCGCGGCUUGCUACUUCGCUGUCGACUCACUGCAUCCUGGGUGUGCAUAAGCACCCAAGGGUAGGGUUGUUCGCCCGUUAAAGCGGUACGUGAGUUGGGUUUAGAACGUCGCGAGACAGUUUGGCGGCAUCUACUGGAAGUGUUAUUGCCUGAGUGGAAGAAACAUUUAGUACGAGAGGAACAAUGUCUCGGGGCCUCUAGUUUAUCGGUUGUCUGACAAGGCAUCGCCGAGUAGCCACGCCCUAAUCGGUAAAGGCUGAAAGCAUCUAAGCCUGAAACGAUCCGCAAAAAGAGGCAAUAGGCACCUGUAAAAGACAGGUUUGAUAGGCGGGGGGUGUAAGCACGAAGCUUCGGCGACGUGUUCAGCUCACCCGUACUAACAGCCGAAAAUCUUGUACAUU